rnacentral:rRNA from 1 species
UACGUAGGGGGCGAGCGUUGUCCGGAUUUAUUGGGCGUAAAGAGCGUGUAGGCGGCUAGAUAGGUCCGUUGUGAAAACUCGAGGCUCAACCUCGAGACGUCGAUGGAAACCAUCUGGCUAGAGUCCGGAAGAGGAGAGUGGAAUUCCUGGUGUAGCGGUGAAAUGCGCAGAUAUCAGGAAGAACACCCGUGGCGAAGGCGGCUCUCUGGUACGUGACUGACGCUGAGACGCGAAAGCGUGGGGAGCAAACAGG